UGGACACAUGAUCUCAAUCAUUUGGCUAGGUAAGCAAUGGUCUAAUAUGAAUGAAAAGAAGGAUUCAAAUGUUAUUAUUCCAAGGUGGUUAUCACUCAAGAACAAGGAACUUGAUCAUUAUGCAAAAUUUAUCUUAGAUUAGAAGCAACUCAUGCAUACAUAGAUUCAUUCUCAUCAUUCUACCAUUUUCCUAAGUGAUUACAAGUUCUACUCUUUUAUCAUCAUCUCAAAACCAAAAUAAAACCCACUCACAUCACUCGCCCAAUGAACAACUCUCUUUUUCUUUUGACUCAACCAACUAGGGACUUUAAUUCAUUUUCUUUACAACAUUUAACUCUAACUCUUUCUAAUUUCCUUCCCCACUUUCUCUUUGAUUCUUUUUCUCUUCUUUUUUUUUUUGAUAUUUUUUAGGGGGAAGGUUCAUAUUUUCCUUUUUCUUAACCUAGAGCUUCAUAUUUUCCUUUUCUCCCUAGAGUUUUUUUUCUAAUGACACUCUUUUAUUCAUCUUUCUCACUCUCCAAACCCAAGAUAUUAACGUUUAGAACACAUAAAACCCCUCU
rnacentral:lncRNA from 1 species